AACGGCCGUACCAUGCUGAAUAUACCGGUUCUCGUUAGAUCACCGAAGUUAAGCAUCAUUGGGCGCGAAUCAGUACUUGGGUGGGUGACCACCGCAGAACACUGCGUGCCGUU